rnacentral:rRNA from 1 species
AUUGAACGCUGGCGGCAGGCCUAACACAUGCAAGUCGAGCGGUAGAGAGGUGCUUGCAUCUCUUGAGAGCGGCGGACGGGUGAGUAAUGCCUAGGAAUCUGCCUAGUGGUGGGGGAUAACGUUCGGAAACGGACGCUAAUACCGCAUACGUCCUACGGGAGAAAGCGGGGGAUCUUCGGACCUCGCGCCAUUAGAUGAGCCUAGGUCGGAUUAGCUAGUUGGUGAGGUAAUGGCUCACCAAGGCGACGAUCCGUAACUGGUCUGAGAGGAUGAUCAGUCACACU